ACUGGGCACAGUGGUGCAUGCCUGUAAUCCCAGCAGCUCGGGAGGCUGAGACAGGAGGAUUGUAAGUUCAAAGCCAGCCUCAGCAAAAGCAAGGCACUAAGUAACUCAGUGAGACCCUGUCUCUA
rnacentral:sRNA from 1 species